rnacentral:rRNA from 1 species
UACGUAGGGGGCAAGCGUUGUCCGGAAUCAUUGGGCGUAAAGAGCGCGUAGGCGGCCCUGUAAGUCCGCUGUGAAAGUCAAGGGCUCAACCCUUGGAUGCCGGUUGGAUACUGCAGGGCUAGAGUCCGGAAGAGGCGAGUGGAAUUCCUGGUGUAGCGGUGAAAUGCGCAGAUAUCAGGAGGAACACCUGCGGCGAAGGCGGGUUGCUGGGCUGACACUGACGCUGAGGCGCGAAAGCUAGGGGAGCGAACGGG